rnacentral:lncRNA from 1 species
GCAGAUCAGACAACCCAGACUUGCUUAGGAUGCUGCAGAGCCCUGGGUCUGAUUCCCACUGAUUUGUUUGACUGUGGGCCACUUUCUUUUUUUUUUUUUUUAAGGAAGAUUAGCCCUGAGCUGACAUUCCUCUUUUUGCUGAGGAAUACUGGCCCUGAGCUAACAUCCAUGCCCAUCUUCCUCUACUUUAUAUGUGGGACGCCUACCACAGCAUGGCUUGCCAAGCGGUGCCAUGUCCGCACCCAGGAUCUGAACCAGAGAACCCCGGGCCGCCAAACGGAAUGGGUACACUCAACUGCUGUGCCACCAGGCCAGCCCCAUGUGGGCCACUUUCUGAGCCGCAGUUUCCCCAUCUGUGUAAUGGGGAUCAUCCCUACCUACAGGGUUGUUUUGUGGAUAUAAAAUAUUUAACAUAGUAAAUGCUCUAUAAAUAACUUGUUUAAUUUUAAUUUUGGAAUAUUUAAUAUUUACAUACCUACAAUAAAAGAAAUUUGAACAGAAUACAAAGGAGAGCAUAGAGUGAAAAAUAUGUCUCUCUCCUCCACCCUCUUCUGGGGGCCCCCCACGAUUACCUGCUUCCUGCCCUUCCCUGCAGAUAUAUUCUGUGGAUACAAUAGGAGUUAUCACACAGGACCCUAGAGUUGGUGAUCAUUAACUUGCCUGCCUUUCUAAACUACUCUUUCCCACUCUGCCCCUCACCCCCUUCUCCUGCGAGCGCACACCACUGUGGGCUCCCUUAUUUGUCUAGCUCCCCCUUCCCAAACCCCAUCCACCUGGUAAUGAUUUCCUAGAGAGUCUCCCAGGGGUCUCCAUGGGGACAUUUCCCGCUCCAAUCUCCAUGGCAACUCUUCAGGUUGCCAUGGCAACACUUAAGCGAUUAUUUGGAGACCCUUAAAUAAAUCACCCAUGGUGGUAUAUACUAGAAGGGUUUGGCUCUGGCUCUUAUGUUCCGGGCCAGGGUUGGGGCCUAGGCCUGCAGGCAGAAGUGGGGGGAGGUGGUGGUCAGGCCUGCCACCCCUGGUUCUAGCACUGCGAGGGGCCCUCUCUGGGCAAGGGUGGAAUGGAGCCUUUUGGGAAGUGGUGCGAGGACAAGCAGGAGCAGGCUUGUGCAGUCUUUGAAUAGAGAGAUCCUGCAGCAAGGAGGACAUUCUUAAUAGGACUAUGGGCUCAAGAUGAGGGGCAGCUGAGAGGAAGCUGGAACGUGACUGAGCAAGGAUUCAAAUCCAGGCCUGCUUGGCUCCAAGGCUGUCACUCACUCCUUGAGGCUAAAGGCUGAGAGAGAAUUUAAGAUUGAAUCCACUCCUUCAUUUACUGGACCAAUAUAUAUAUAUAUAUAUAUACAUUUUUUUUUUUUUUUGAGGAAGAUUAGCCCUGAGCUAACAUCUGCCUCCAAUCUUCCUCUUUUUAUUUUGCUGAGGAAGAUUGGCCCUGAGCUAACAUCUGUGCCUAUCUUCCUCUACUUUGUAUACAGACACCUGCCACAGCAUGGCUUGAUAAGCGGCGCUAGGUUUGCGCCUGGGAUCUGAACCUGCGAACCCCGGGCUGCUGAAGCAGAGCAGGUGAACUUAACUGCUAUGCCACCAGGCUGGCCCCUAGAGCAAUAUAUAUAUAUAUAUCUUUCUUUCUGCUUUUUCUCCACAAAUCCCCCCAGUAUAUAGCUGUAUAUUUUAGUUGUGGGUCCUUCUAGUUGUAGUUAGACCAAUAUUUUUAGAGCACCUACUACAUGCCAGGCACUGUGCUAAGCAUAGAGGAUGCAGCAGUGACUAGAACAAAGAAAAACACCUGUCCUCAUGGAGCUUACCUUCUACUGAGGGAUACAAUUAGCACAGUAAUGGAAACAGGCUAGCUGGUGGUUUAAGAAUUGGGGAAGGGGGCCAGGGAAUGUGGGGAGAAGCUGUGGUAUGCGCUGCCAAAAGGGCUCGGGUCCCUGGGCACAGUCAUGGAACUCAGCUCUGGGGACAAUUCCCAAAAGGGAGGAGGGCGAGGGGUGAGAGAAACCGGUGAAGUUUGGAGACUCUCUCAGCAGUGGCUCCUUCCACGUGUUCUGGCAGCACAGCUAAGCGAUUCAGUCUUCCAGUUUCCUGGAUGCCUCACAAGACAAACUGAAGCAGGCAGACCUGAUUAGCCCUGAGCUAACAUCUGCUGCCAAUCCUCCUCUUUUUGCUGAGGAAGACUAGCCGUGAGCUAACAUCCGUGCCCAUCUUCCUCUACUUUAUAUGUGGGACGCCUACUACAGCAUGGCGUGCCAAGCAGUGCCAUGUCUGCACCCUGGAUCCGAACCGGCGAAACUCCGGGCUGCUGAAGGGGAACAUGCGCACUUAACCGGUGUGCCACUGGGCCGGCCCCUAAAUUGCUUGUCUUGAGUACCGGGGAGACUGUGUAGCCUAUCUGGGGACUCCGGUUUAUUUUAUUUCUAAUGUUAACCUCAGGUGGCUAUGUGCUCCCCGACUUGUAUGUGAUAAACGGAUUGGUCAGGGCUGUCCUUUGGUGGUGGAGCAGACUGAAGGGUACAGGGGCAUGAUUCUUCUAACCCUUGGCUUCCCCUGGAGGCAAUACUUCCCAGGAAUGGAGAGGUUUGGGAGCAUAGGCCUAAGGCACACAGUCUACACAGUGUGUGUACUCUGUGCCAAAAAUCUUCCUAAGGAGAUCAAGAGACUUGCGUCUUUUUACACUAGGCUCUCUCUGCCUUGGCUGAGUGUGGAUUAUCCACUUUCGAAUAGGCCCUGGGUUUUGGGCCAGGUUGGUAGACAACAGCAAGUGAUUUCUGGCCACUUUAGCCUCUUCUUUAGAAGAGGUGUUCACUGGAAGUUCCUCGGACAGUGAGUGGAGGAGUUGAGUGGCCAGCUCCAUGAGGUGCAGGAGGCCAUGGACAUCUCAGUGGCCGUCUCCUCCUUGGCUCUUAGCAGCUUGUAAU